rnacentral:snRNA from 1 species
UUGCUCACUUUGGCAGCACAUAUACUAAAACUGGAACACUACAGAGAAGAUUAGCACGGCCCCUAUGCAAGGAUGACAUGCAAAUUCAUGAAGUGUUCCAUAUUUUU